UGAAGAGGAGAACGACGAUGACCUUGAGGAGAGCACACAGCAUACCAUUCUCCCCAACAGCCAGGAUCUUUUUCUCACUAUGACUGAAAUAUCCUCCCAAGGCGGUAUCCCCGACCACGAAGCCGUAGACGGGACCUCUGCUGCAAAUUUUUCAAGCCUCCCUCCUCCGUCCCAAAGGCUCUCUCAGAUAAGGCAGCG